rnacentral:rRNA from 1 species
UACGUAGGUGGCAAGCGUUGUCCGGAUUUACUGGGCGUAAAGAGCGCGCAGGCGGUCGUUCAAGUCGCGUGUGAAAGCCCCCGGCUCAACUGGGGAGGGUCACGCGAUACUGAUCGACUCGAAGGCAGGAGAGGGAAGUGGAAUUCCUGGUGUAGCGGUGAAAAUGCGCAGAUAUCAGGAGGAACACCUGCGGUGUAGACGGCUUACUGGACCAUAACUGACGCUGAGGCACGAAAGCGUGGGUAGCAAACAGGA